UGGGGAAUUUUCCGCAAUGGGCGCAAGCCUGACGGAGCAACGCCGCGUGAGGGAUGAAGGCCUCUGGGCUGUAAACCUCUUUUAUCAAGGAAGAAGAUCUGACGGUACUUGAUGAAUAAGCCACGGCUAAUUCCGUG
rnacentral:rRNA from 1 species